GGCGUCAGAAGGCGGCUCCGGUAAUGCGCCCAUCGAAGUUGUCUGGGAAUGCCGCGGCUGCCACAAUGACACCGGCGAACGGACUGUCACAUCGCGUGUCCCUGCCGCGGUGCACUGUAUAGCCAGCUCCUGACCUUUCACUUAAACUCUCAUCUGGACAUCCUACAAGUGACUACCACCAUCAGCCAAAACACCUUGUGAAGGCCAGACUGAAAAGGCAGCAAUCUCUGCAGAAAUGUUGAAGUGUUGGUACCAGUUUGCUACAGCCAGCUCGCUCCUCAUUCUUAACAAACCACGUAAGGGAUGGUCCUAACCACCCCGUAAAAGUUCAGACACAGGAUCAUCAUUCUCUUCCAAAAGCUCCAAGCAGUUCAGAUGUUAGUUAAGUUUUAGGUGGAAGAUAAAGGGGCAAAGCUAACACUAAAAUAAGGCAUCCUUGUAAAGCAAUUAUAACCAAUAAAAUGUAUUUAUGGCAAUUGCCUGAACAUAAAACAAUAAUGAUAAUAAAUAAAGUACAUACUGUAAUAUUGAAUUGCUAGUUAAAUUGACUUAGUGUUUAAUAUUAUCAAAACCUCUGGCACUAAGUCAUUUGUGUUAAAAAUAACUUUAUCUUUGUAAUUCUCAUCAACCUUGACUGCCCUAUGCAGAUGUCACUGCAAUUUGCUCAUCAACUCCAGGACAGCUGCCAAUCAAUACAGAAGACCAACACUUGAAACUAGAGAGAAGACAGCAGGAACCUGAAGAACACUCAGGACCACAUUCUGGGCUGCUACUAACAGCUGCGCAUCCUCGUGUUCAUUGACAGCAGGAGCUUUACCACAAGCUAGCCAAGAAACAAGCAACCCCCACGUGGCUGCGUGGCUCAGAACCACCUUAGACUGAAUUAGGGUGCAAAUCUCACUGAGCGGGAUGGAAACGGUGCCCACUGUAACCAAGAUUCAAUUUCAUCCACAAGUAUUGAGGUCCACCACUUAAUGCAGCAAACUGUUAAGUAGGGACUUCGUCAAAGCAAAGCAAGGUGUUAUUAUGACAGUAAUUUGUACCCACAUUGCAGAUUUGCCAAAGAUCUUAAAGCAUCUUUAAAAGUAUAAAUCAGCCUCUUUGAGAAGUAUUUGUCUGUUGUUAUAGACGUUAUGUCAGACUGGAAAGCUACAACACAAAGAAGUUACACUAAGCAUGAAAUUUCACUCUUCUGCAAAAGGCCAGCCCAAAGACUACAGGCUCUCCUUAAGUACCCCAUAAAUCCUUUAAGUAGGGCUUAAAUUAGAAAUUACACAGGAUUAAGGAGGCGGAUAGGUCUCAUACUGGUCCGUCGGUACCUGAGUCAAAUUUACCCAUGCAGAUCAGUAAAAAAAAGUCUAAAAAAAAAAAUCUAUGUAUCUCAAAUUCAAUUUUGAGCUUAGUAUUACUAUGCUGCAUAGACUUAAAAAAAAAAGCUGACGGUUUUAUUUUUUUUGAGAAUGCAGUGCUCACUCUGUUCCUACAAUUUUGUAGUCGAACCAACCAUCCAACAUUACAAAGCAGGUAUUUCACUGAAAUUUUGUUCUAUAUGCAUCUUGAGUAGUUUUUUACCACUUGAUCCCCUUACUUUAAAAAUAAAUUGGCAUAAGGCAA